UCAUUUGUUCAACUCUGACUAACCAGAGUGAUAAUUUCUUGAUAUGCUAAAUAAUAUGCUAAUGUUUAUUAAUUAGAUAUUUUCACACGUGUGAUUAAUCAACGAUGACACUAUUUCGUACAACGGUGUUUGCAGUAUCUCAAUACCACAGAAUUUACUGCACUAGCACACGUGCUGAAAAUAAUAAAUUUUCAUUCGAAAUUCAAAAGUACAAUUUGGUCGCAAAUAUAUCAUAACAUCCUAUGAGACAUGCAGAAGCUUCGUUAAAUAAAUUUGAAAUAAAAAAGAAAAUUAAAUAACGUAAGAUAAUAAGAAUAAAAGUGAUGAAUGAAGGAGAAAAAAUGUGAUAAGCAUAAAUUAUAUAUUUCGCGCAGUUCACAUUAGGCAGAUCCUAUGCAAGGCACUGGGACUCACCCAGCUGAUGCCAAGCUAGGCCCCAUUCGUCCUCCUUGCUUGUGGAAGUUGCGUGGGAGACUGGUGCUACGGAAUCUAAUUAAUGAAUCAUAUUGAGACAAAAGCUAAUGAAUUCCGAAGAAGUAAAAUGUGUAGGAUUUUUACUCACUUUGUACCAAGACUUCUACACUUCCGAUGACCUGGGACAAAUUUAUUGGCAGCAGAGGCGGCGUGUAGUCUGAGCGAACCAGCACAUCCUCUAGCUGGUGAUAAAGAAAGAGCGGCAACACCUGCAACAUCCCCAACUGAUUCUUUGCUACUGCUUGAAGAAGACAUUUAUUUUCAGGUCAAUAUAAAAGAGCAGCUUCGAACCUACUUGUAAUGAUCGUCUUCUAGGAAUUUCUGUAAUUCUUCAAUAUAUCGAACACUAUUCAAGUAACGUUGGACGUCAGCAACCCUGAUGAAAUGAAUUAAUAUUUCACAACGUUGCUUUGGUGUGGGAGCAUUCAGUAUCUCCUGGACAGUCCAGAAACUGACCUGCAAGUCAAUAAUUCUGUAUUCCAAGUGAACAACUUGAUAAUUCCUCGGGUCGAAUUGAUUGAAAAGCGCUUAGAUCUAAAAGCGUUAGCUGAGUAGCCAAAUCCUCUGCUUGUAUAUUUGUUGCAACUGUAACGUUGGCGACAGGUAUGUACUACAUAUUUAUGGUAUAAAGAGUUUAUCUAGGGGGUAACCAUUGAAAUGAAAAGAAUGCAAUGAAAAAUUACGAGUGACAAGCAACAUCGAGACACAGAGGAUUUUUUAUUUAAUCUUUGAAACAAAAAUCCAAGCAAUAGGGUAAUGAAAAUUAACAACCAAUUAUUUUUCUGCAACCAGAAGCUACAGAAACAUUACUUUUGAGAAUCAUGAGGUGGAGUCAGCUCGGAAUACUUUCUGUAUGGCUUUGGCUUUUCACGAUGCUCCUUGCGUUCCUUGUGCACUGUAUCUUUCUGGUCCUUGUCGCAAGGCAACAGAGGACCGCUAGAAGAGCUAGUAUCCCCGGUAAACGACUUAUCCUGACAAUCCAAAGGCGCACACUUCAGACAGGUAAAAACAAAUGAGCAGCAACGGAUUCUGUGGACAAGUCGCGGGGCAUAGAGGUAUACCGCAUGUCAGCCAUGAGGCGACACUGCUUAGAGGACACAUUACACCUCUCGUCGAUCCCCUAGAUGCAGCCUAGCCACAUCCAUUCGUUCUAGACUCUUAAAGGAUCCAGUACUC